ACCCCUGUGACAUACCUAUACGUUGCCUCGGCGGAUCAGCCCGCGCCCCGUAAAACGGGACGGCCCGCCCGAGGACCCCUAAACUCUGUUUUUAGUGGAACUUCUGAGUAAAACAAACAAAUAAAUCAAAACUUUCAACAACGGAUCUCUUGGUUCUGGCAUCGAUGAAGAACGCAGCAAAAUGCGAUAAGUAAUGUGAAUUGCAGAAUUCAGUGAAUCAUCGAAUCUUUGAACGCACAUUGCGCCCGCCAGUAUUCUGGCGGGCAUGCCUGUUCGAGCGUCAUUUCAACCCUCAAGCUCAGCUUGGUGUUGGGACUCGCGGUAACCCGCGUUCCCCAAAUCGAUUGGCGGUCACGUCGAGCUUCCAUAGCGUAGUAAUCAUACACCUCGUUACUGGUAAUCGUCGCGGCCACGCCGUUAAACCCCAACUUCUGAAUGUUGACCUCGGAUCAGGUAGGAAUACCCGCUGAACUUAAGCAUAUCA
rnacentral:rRNA from 1 species